AGCUAAGCAGAACCAGCCAGCCCUCACAAACCAAUCAGGCCUUCAUUAGGCCGGGCGGGGGGAUCGAUGGCCAGCCCGCAUCAAUUAAACAGCACCCGCACAGCACUAUAUAUAAGAAUAUAUACACAGAAACCCUCGAUACCCUACGAACUGUGGCAAGCACCGUCGCCCGCCUAGCUGCCUGCUCGCCUUCAUGGGGAUGUAUGUGCGUGCCAUAAUUAACGCUUAAUAACUUCCCCCAAUCUACACAUCGAGCACCGCGCGCCCAUUCCUCUGGUCCUGAUGCUGGGCCAUUUGUUGGGCGGCUGGUGGAGGUCUCUAUCAAUCCGAGUGUCAUUAAGCAAGAUGAAGAGGAGGAGGACGAGGAAGGGAGGCUCAUUGUCAUCAAAGUGGUGACUGUCAGUAUGCGGAGAGGAUUACUCACUUCUGUGAUGCCGUUUGAAAGUGAUAGAUACGUAAAUGUGGAAAAAGGGAACCGAUGUUUUUUGCCAAGUGCAGUAAUAAGUCGGCGCCAGGGUAACUCCAUUUGUUAAGAGAUCACUUGUUGUUCCUCAUAAAACGAGGAGUAUAUGCACAUGCUCCAAGAAUGAAUGUGAUUAAUUUCUUAAUGAUGUAAUUUUUAGGGCGGGCUCUGGAGGGGGAGUGCUCAGGCACUGUGACUGUUGUAAUGUGAUAAAAACUAAUUUAGCUGAAGUCUCUUGGGGCAGUUUGUAUAUCGUAUGCAUCCAAUCGAUGGUGUUUUUUCAAAUACACAAAUGAUGGAGAAAUCAGAAGACUAAUGGCAUGUGAUUAAAGGAGGAUUCUUUUUUUAAAUCUGAGGAAUCUCUUUGUAACAAGACGUUUCAGAGGUAGAAAAUGAAAAGCCGGAUAAUGAUA